ACAGCACUUAUAUUUAUAUUUAAAUUCGUAUUUAUAUAUUCAUGAAUGGAGGAAGCAGGCUAAUUAAGGGAAAUCUCUUGUCCAUGACACGAAAGAGUCCCCUUCCACGAAUUAUACACUAUGCUAACUCUGUGUGGCUGUGCUCGCCUUUUUUACUUCAUUCUCUUUCUAUUCUCGUUUAAGUGUUAAAUGUCCAGCAAUUUAGCCCUGGGAAGACCAUCUCAGCUGUUCAGGACUUAAGCAGCAACUAAUUAAUUAACGAUAUAAUUUUAAUCAGUACCUUAACGUCUUCACUAUGGUAACCAAUACGCAACAACAACAUGGCCCGUAACGGAAGUUAACUGUUAGCUUAACGUUAAGCUCUACUAGCUUUGGUAGUAAGCUAGCAAGCUUCACUGUCCGUUAGCUGCGUUUUUAGUAGUUAGAGAAGGUACCGGACUAAACCAUGCAGCAUCUGGUACGUAACAUUACUUUAUUUAAGCUUAUUGUAGCAAAGUUGACACCAGUAAAAGAAGUUAAUCGUUAGCUUAAAAACGCCAAAGUAAUUAGGCAUGACUAAAUUUAGUGGUAACUUGCAAGAUUCAACCUACAUUUGCGGCCUUUUUAAAUAUCUUAUUCUCGUUUUACACAUGCUAACUGUUAGAGAAGAUACUGGACUCAACCAUGCAGCCUGUGUGCGGAGGCUGCUGAUUCUUUGCAAGAGUGUGGUACACGGCUGGGUCGUGGUCUGGGGAGCUGCCAGUGUAGAGCCACCGCUACUUAGUAGAGUUACCAGAGGCCCAAGCAGUGAGGCUACAACCGACCAGCCUGUGACCACGCAGGAAGACGAAGUUGAGCACACCCAGCUACGACGAACUGCAAGGGAAUGGGAACAACUUUUGUGAGUGACUUUGGAAGGGCAGUGUAUAAAAGAUUGUGAGGUUGUUCAAAAGAGAAAACUUGCUUGUGGAUAAUACUGGACACACAUGAAGAACAUUUCUCUGCUCAUCUUUCAAAACACUGUACCUGAUUCUGGGACUGCUUGGGAACCUGGAUCUGAAAAGUUAUGCAUUUUUGCAGAGCAAGCCCAACAAUGCCAUGUGAUUGUCCUGUUGUCUCUGUCCAUGGUCCUGAAACAACUACUGCAACUGGAAACUUAUUUUUCUUUUUUUGCCAUAUUUUUGUGAAUUUGUGACAUGGCUACUACUACUACUAUUACUACUGCUCCUGCUGCUGCUACUACUACUAAUAAUAUAUUAAUGUAAUAAUUUAAUUGUCCCUUCAGUGAGGUAUUAUGCGUGAAUAUUUUAUAACAAAACAUGAGGCCUUCAAAUUAUCUAAAAGCAUAUAUUUACAGCUUUUUAUUAUACAUAAUGUCUUCUGAAUAACAUUUUUUAGCAACAUACAUUUUAACAAAUUCUGUUUGAGUUGAUUUCAUCCAUAGAUUCAUAGAUGUGUAGAUUUCCAUAUUUAUUCCAUGAUAAUAUGGGUUUUAAUAAAUCAGUCUUGUCAACAUUAGAGACACAUUGUCUGUAUUUGUUGUUGUUUGUAUUUGUGUGGGGUAUAAUGAUUUAAGUUUUGUAUGCACAUUUAGUUGUGUGAUUGAAGUAAGUAUUCAUUAAUAUGUAUUUCCUUAGUUGUAUUAGUUUUCCUACUAUACAUCUAGUCUACUUUUAUGGGAUUAAUUUUUUUUUUGUCUGUGGUCUCUCACCAAAUUGCUAAACAUGCUUAAUAAUAAUAAUAGUUUGUCAGUGGUGCAUAAAGGUGUAUUUCUAUCAUCAGGUUGUUAUCUGGAAGUGACGUUGGACAUACCAUCAAUAAAAUAAUAUAAUAGUCCUAUUGAA